rnacentral:rRNA from 1 species
GUUGUAUAGUCAAGUAAUUAAGUGCAUGUGGUGGAUGCCUUGGCAGUCAGAGGCGAUGAAAGACGUGAUAGCCUGCGAAAAGCUCCGGGGAGGCGGCAAAUAUCCUUUGAUCCGGAGAUGUCUGAAUGGGGGAACCCACCUACUUUAAGGUAGGUAUUGCAACAUGAAUACAUAGUGUUGCAAGGCGAACGAGGGGAAGUGAAACAUCUCAGUACCCUUAGGAAAAGAAAUCAAUUGAGAUUCCCUCAGUAGCGGCGAGCGAACGGGGAUCAGCCCAUUAAGUUAUGUGUGUUUUAGUGGAACGCUCUGGGAAGUGCGAACGUAGAGGGUGAUAUUCCCGUACACGAAAGGGCACACAUAAUGAUGACGAGUAGGGCGAGGCACGUGAAACCUUGUCUGAAUAUGGGGGGACCAUCCUCCAAGGCUAAAUACUCCUGACUGACCGAUAGUGAACCAGUACCGUGAGGGAAAGGCGAAAAGAACCCCUGUGAGGGGAGUGAAAUAGAUCCUGAAACCGCAUGCAUACAAGCAGUGGGAGCACCUUCGUGGUGUGACUGCGUACCUUUUGUAUAAUGGGUCAGCGACUUAUAUUCAGUAGCAAGGUUAACCGUAUAGGGGAGCCGUAGAGAAAUCGAGUCUUAAUAGGGCGUUUAGUUGCUGGGUAUAGACCCGAAACCAGGCGAUCUAUCCAUGAGCAGGUUGAAGGUUGGGUAACACUAACUGGAGGACCGAACCCACUGUCGUUGAAAAGCCAGGGGAUGACUUGUGGAUAGGGGUGAAAGGCUAAUCAAGCCUGGUGAUAGCUGGUUCUCCCCGAAAGCUAUUUAGGUAGCGCCUCGGACGAAUACCAUAGGGGGUAGAGCACUGUUUCGGCUAGGGGGUCAUCCCGACUUACCAAACCGAUGCAAACUCCGAAUACCUAUGAGUACUAUCCGGGAGACAGACUGCGGGUGCUAACGUCCGUAGUCAAGAGGAAAACAAUCCAGACCGCCAGCUAAGGCCCCAAAAUCAUAGUUAAGUGGGAAACGAUGUGGGAAGGCAUAGACAGCUAGGAGGUUGGCUUANNNNNNNNNNNNNNNNNNNNNNNNNNNNNNNNNNNNNNNNNNNNNNNNNNNNNNNNNNNGAAGCAGCCACCCUUUAAAGAAAGCGUAAUAGCUCACUAGUCGAGUCGGCCUGCGCGGAAGAUGUAACGGGGCUAAAACUAUGUGCCGAAGCUGCGGAUUUGACAUUAGUCAAGUGGUAGGGGAGCGUUCUGUAAGCCGAUGAAGGUGUAUUGAGAAGUNNNNNNNNNNNNAUGCUGGAGGUAUCAGAAGUGCGAAUGCUGACGUGAGUAACGACAAAACGGGUGAAAAACCCGUUCGCCGAAAGACCAAGGGUUCCAGUCCAACGUUAAUCGGGGCUGGGUGAGUCGACCCCUAAGGCGAGGCCGAAAGGCGUAGUCGAUGGGAAAAUGGUUAAUAUUCCAUUACUUCUGUGUAAUGCGAUGAGAGGACGGAGAAGGCUAAAUCAGCCUGGCGUUGGUUGUCCAGGUGAAAGGAUGUAGGCAUGUAUCUUAGGCAAAUCCGGGGUACUCUAUGCUGAGAUCUGAUAGCAAGCUGUACUUGUACAGCGAAGUGGUUGAUGCCAUGCUUCCAGGAAAAGUCUCUAAGCUUCAGUUACACAGGAAUCGUACCCGAAACCGACACAGGUGGUCAGGUCGAGUAGACCAAGGCGCUUGAGAGAACUCUGCUGAAGGAACUAGGCAAAAUGGUACCGUAACUUCGGGAGAAGGUACGCUGUUGUUGGUGAUGGAACUCGCUUCCUGAGCUGACGACAGCCGCAGAAACCAGGCCGCUGCAACUGUUUAUUAAAAACAUAGCACUCUGCAAACACGAAAGUGGACGUAUAGGGUGUGAUGCCUGCCCGGUGCUGGAAGGUUAAUUGAUGGGGUUAGCGUAAGCGAAGCUCUUGAUCGAAGCCCCAGUAAACGGCGGCCGUAACUAUAACGGUCCUAAGGUAGCGAAAUUCCUUGUCGGGUAAGUUCCGACCUGCACGAAUGGCAUAAUGAUGGCGGCGCUGUCUCCAGCAGAGGCUCAGUGAAAUCGAAAUCGCUGUGAAGAUGCAGUGUACCCGCGGCUAGACGGAAAGACCCCGUGAACCUUUACUGCAGCUUGACACUGAACUUUGACCUUACUUGUGUAGGAUAGGUGGGAGGCUUUGAAGCUGGAACGCUAGUUCCAGUGGAGCCGUCCUUGAAAUACCACCCUGGUAAUGUUGAGGUUCUAACUCUGUCCCGUGAUCCGGGACGAGGACCGUGUCUGGUGGGUAGUUUGACUGGGGCGGUCUCCUCCUAAAGAGUAACGGAGGAGUACGAAGGUGCGCUCAGCGUGGUCGGAAAUCACGCGUAGAGUAUAAAGGCAAAAGCGCGCUUAACUGCGAGACCCACAAGUCGAGCAGGUACGAAAGUAGGUCUUAGUGAUCCGGUGGUUCUGUAUGGAAGGGCCAUCGCUCAACGGAUAAAAGGUACUCUGGGGAUAACAGGCUGAUACCGCCCAAGAGUUCAUAUCGACGGCGGUGUUUGGCACCUCGAUGUCGGCUCAUCUCAUCCUGGGGCUGAAGCAGGUCCCAAGGGUAUGGCUGUUCGCCAUUUAAAGAGGUACGCGAGCUGGGUUUAGAACGUCGUGAGACAGUUCGGUCCCUAUCUACCGUGGGCGCUGGAAAUUUGAGAGGAUCUGCUCCUAGUACGAGAGGACCAGAGUGGACGAACCUCUGGUGUACCGGUUGUGACGCCAGUCGCAUCGCCGGGUAGCUAUGUUCGGAAGGGAUAACCGCUGAAAGCAUCUAAGCGGGAAGCCUACCUCAAGAUAAGAUUUCCCUAGGACUUUAUGUCCUCUAAAGAGCCGUUCGAGACUAGGACGUUGAUAGGUUGGAUGUGGAAGCAUAGUGAUAUGUGAAGCUGACCAAUACUAAUUGCUCGUGAGGCUUGACUAUACAACACCCAAGCAGUUG